rnacentral:rRNA from 1 species
GUGACUAAGUGCAUGUGGUGGAUGCCUUGGCGAUUACAGGCGACGAAGGACGUGAUAGCCUGCGAUAAGCUUCGGGGAGCUGGCAAAUUAGCUUUGAUCCGGAGAUUUCCGAAUGGGGAAACCCACUCCGCAAGGAGUAACUUUGGCUGAAUACAUAGGCCACUGUGGCGAACCGGGUGAACUGAAACAUCUAAGUAGCUGCAGGAACAGAAAUCAACCGAGAUUCCCAAAGUAGUGGCGAGCGAAAUCGGAACAGCCUUGUACUCUUUAGCAGUAUUGUUAGCAAAGCGGAAUGGAAAGUCCGGCCAUAGUGGGUGAUAGCCCCGUAUGCGAAAACAGUAUUGUGGAACUAGGUGUACGACAAGUAGGGCGGGACACGUGAAAUCCUGUCUGAAUAUGGGGGGACCAUCCUCCAAGGCUAAAUACUCCUAGCUGACCGAUAGUGAACCAGUACCGUGAGGGAAAGGCGAAAAGAACCCCGGAGAGGGGAGUGAAAUAGAACCUGAAACCGUAUGCGUACAAGCAGUGGGAGCCCCUUCGUGGGGUGACUGCGUACCUUUUGUAUAAUGGGUCAGCGACUUACUUUCAGUGGCGAGCUUAACCGUAUAGGGGAGGCGUAGGGAAACCGAGUCUUAAUAGGGCGUUAAGUCGCUGGGAGUAGACCCGAAACCGGGCGAUCUAUCCAUGGCCAGGGUGAAGGUUAGGUAACACUGACUGGAGGCCCGAACCCACCGUCUUUGAAAAGCCGGGGGAUGAGCUGUGGAUCGGAGUGAAAGGCUAAUCAAGCUCGGUGAUAGCUGGUUCUCCCCGAAAUCUAUUUAGGUAGAGCGUUAGGAGGUUACCCGCGGGGGUAGAGCACUGUUUCGGCUAGGGGGUCAUCCCGACUUACCAACCCGAUGCAAACUCCGAAUACCGUGGAGUAUAUCCUGGCAGACACACGGCGGGUGCUAACGUCCGUCGUGAAGAGGGAAACAACCCAGACCGCCAGCUAAGGUCCCAAAUAUCCGUUAAGUGGGAAACGAUGUGGGAAGGCAUAGACAGCUAGGAGGUUGGCUUAGAAGCAGCCACCCUUUAAAGAAAGCGUAAUAGCUCACUAGUCGAGUCGGCCUGCGCGGAAGAUGUAACGGGGCUCAAGCCAUGAACCGAAGCUGCGGAUGUGCAAUUUAUUGCACGUGGUAGGAGAGCGUUCUGUAAGCCUGUGAAGGUGGGUUGUGAAGCCUGCUGGAGGUAUCAGAAGUGCGAAUGCUGACAUGAGUAGCGUUAAAGGGGGUGAAAAGCCCCCUCGCCGUAAGCCCAAGGUUUCCUACGCAACGUUCAUCGGCGUAGGGUGAGUCGGCCCCUAAGGCGAGGCAGAAAUGCGUAGCUGAUGGGAAGCAGGUUAAUAUUCCUGCACCGUCGUAUGAUGCGAUGGGGGGACGGAUCGCGGAAGGUUGUCCGGGUGUUGGACGUCCCGGUCGCUGCAUUGGAGAAGGCGCUUAGGCAAAUCCGGGCGCGGAAUUCAAGGAUGUGGGGCGAGCGGCUUUAUGCUGCGAAGCAAUCGGAAGUGGUUCCAAGAAAAGCCUCUAAGCUUCAGUCAUACGAGACCGUACCGCAAACCGACACAGGUGGGCGAGAUGAGUAUUCUAAGGCGCUUGAGAGAACUCGGGAGAAGGAACUCGGCAAAUUGGUACCGUAACUUCGGGAUAAGGUACGCCCCGGUAGCUUGACUGGCCUGCGCCAGAAGGGUGAAAGGGUUGCAAUAAACUGGUGGCUGCGACUGUUUAAUAAAAACACAGCACUCUGCAAACACGAAAGUGGACGUAUAGGGUGUGACGCCUGCCCGGUGCUGGAAGAUUAAAUGAUGGGGUGCAAGCUCUUGAUUGAAGUCCCAGUAAACGGCGGCCGUAACAAUAACGGUCCUAAGGUAGCGAAAUUCCUUGUCGGGUAAGUUCCGACCUGCACGAAUGGUCUAAUGAGUUGAAUACUGUCUCCUCCACGAGCCCGGUGAAAUUGUAGUAUCGGUGAAGAUGCCGGUUACCCGCCACGGGACGGAAAGACCCCGUGAACCUUCACUACAACUUUGCAUUGAUUUUGAGUACCAGAUGUGUAGCAUAGUUGGGAGACUAUGAAGCAGCUUCGCUAGGAGUUGUGGAGUCAACGUUGAAAUACCAACCUUCUGUUACUUAGAGUCUAAUCCCGCUGAAGGCGGGGGACAUUGCAUGGUGGGUAGUUUGACUGGGGUGGUCGCCUCCUAAAAAGUAACGGAGGCUUGCAAAGGUACCCUCAGUACGGUUGGUAAUCGUACGCAGAGCGCAUUAGUAAAAGGGUGCUUGACUGUGAGGCUGACACGCCGAGCAGGAGCGAAAGCUGGCUAAAGUGAUCCGGCGGUUCUGCAUGGAAGGGCCGUCGCUCAAAGGAUAAAAGGUACUCCGGGGAUAACAGGCUGAUCUUACCCAAGAGCUCAUAUCGACGGUAAGGUUUGGCACCUCGAUGUCGGUUCGUCACAUCCUGGGGCUGGAGAAGGUCCCAAGGGUUCGGCUGUUCGCCGAUUAAAGUGGCACGCGAGCUGGGUUCAGAACGUCGUGAGACAGUUCGGUCCCUAUCUGUUGUGGGCGUUAGAAAAUUGAGGGGCGCUGACUCUAGUACGAGAGGACCGAGUCGGACAAGCCGCUAGUGUACCUGUUGUUCCGCCAGGAGCACCGCAGGGUAGCUAUGCUUGGAUGAGAUAAGCGCUGAAAGCAUCUAAGUGCGAAACUCACCUCAAGAUAAGUUUUCUUUACAAGGAUCGUG